UACGGGGGGGGCAAGCGUUGUUCGGAAUUACUGGGCGUAAAGGGCGCGUAGGCGGCCCGCUAAGUCGAACGUGAAAUCCCCGAGCUCAACUCGGGAACUGCGUCCGAUACUGGCGGGCUUGAAUCCGGGAGAGGGAUGCGGAAUUCCAGGUGUAGCGGUGAAAUGCGUAGAUAUCGGGAGGAAUACCGAUGGCGAAGGCAGGUCUCUGGGCUGACACUGACGCUCAUGCACGAAAGCGUGGGGAGCAAACAGG
rnacentral:rRNA from 1 species